AUACGUAGGGGGCGAGCGUUGUCCGGAAUGGUUGGGCGUAAAGGGCGCGUAGGCGGCGCGGUAAGUCUGGAGUGAAAGUCCUGCUUUCAAGGUGGGAACUGCUUUGGAUACUGUCGCGCUUGAGUGCAGGAGAGGUUAUCGGAAUUCCCGGUGUAGCGGUGAAAUGCGUAGAGAUCGGGAGGAACACCAGUGGCGAAGGCGGGUAACUGGACUGCAACUGACGCUGAGGCGCGAAGGUGUGGGGAGCAAACAGGAUUAGAUACCCUGGUAGUCCACACUGUAAACGAUGAUGACUAGGUGUGGGGGGACUGAACCCUUCCGUGCCGCAGUUAACACAAUAAGUCAUCCACCUGGGGAGUACGGCCGCAAGGUUGAAACUCAAAGGAAUUGACGGG
rnacentral:rRNA from 1 species